AUUGAACGCUGGCGGCAUGCCUUACACAUGCAAGUCGAACGGUAACAGGUCUUCGGAUGCUGACGAGUGGCGAACGGGUGAGUAAUACAUCGGAACGUGCCUAGUAGUGGGGGAUAACUACUCGAAAGAGUGGCUAAUACCGCAUGAGAUCUACGGAUGAAAGCAGGGGAGCGCAAGACCUUGUGCUACUAGAGCGGCCGAUGGCAGAUUAGGUAGUUGGUGGGAUAAAAGCUUACCAAGCCGACGAUCUGUAGCUGGUCUGAGAGGACGAUCAGCCACACUGGGACUGAGACACGGCCCAGACUCCUACGGGAGGCAGCAGUGGGGAAUUUUGGACAAUGGGCGCAAGCCUGAUCCAGUAAUGCCGCGUGCAGGAUGAAGGCCUUCGGGUUGUAAACUGCUUUUGUACGGAACGAAAAGCCCUGGGUUAAUACCCUGGGGUCAUGACGGUACCGUAAGAAUAAGCACCGGCUAACUACGUGCCAGCCGCCGCUGUAACAC
rnacentral:rRNA from 1 species